GACAGAGAGAGAGACAGAGAGAGAGAGAGACAGACAGAGAGACAGACAGAGAGAGAGGAUGGAGAAAAGGGAUAAGAUGAUGAAUAGAAGGGGAAAGAACAAAAGAAAGAAACAUAAUAUAUUAGCACUGUGUUAAACAGACAGAUACCACCCCACACAGACAGAUACCACCCCACACAGACAGAUACCACCCCACACAGACAGAUACCACCCCACACAGACAGGUACCACCCCACACAGACAGAUACCACCCCACACAGACAGAUACCACCCCACACAGACAGGUACCACCUCACACAGACAGAUACCACCCCACACAGACAGGUACCACCCCACACACACAGGUACCACCCCACACAGACAGGUACCACCCCACACAGACAGAUACCACCCCACACAGACAGAUACCACCCCACACAGACAGGUACCACCCCACACAGACAGAUACCACCCCACACAGACAGGUACCACCCCACACAGACAGGUACCACCCCACACAGACAGAUACCACCCCACACAGACAGAUACCACCCCACACAGACAGAUACCACCCCACACAGACAGGUACCACCCCACACAGACAGGUACCACCCCACACAGACAGGUACCACCCCACACAGACAGGUACCACCCCACACACACAGGUACCACCCCACACAGACAGAUACCACCCCACACAGACAGGUACCACCCCACACAGACAGGUACCACCCCACACAGACAGGUACCACCCCACACAGACAGAUACCACCCCACACAGACAGGUACCACCCCACACAGACAGGUACCACCCCACACAGACAGAUACCACCCCACACAGACAGGUACCACCCCACACAGACAGGUACCACCCCACACAGACAGCUACCACCCCACACAGACAGGUACCACCCCACACAGACAGGUACCACCCCACACAGACAGGUACCACCCCACACAGACAAAGGGGAUCGAAACUUCCAUCUCUGAAAUACAAGUUCAUCCUAAACAUUUGAUGUCAAGUUUGAUUUAUCCGAGUUCUCCUUAACAGUAGCUCAACAUGCACAAAACCAGACCUGUACAUAAGACAACAACACAAAGUCAUCUAAAGAACUCUGUCACACACACACACUGCACCCUGUGUUCACACACACUUACAGACAAAACACAAAGGCUACAUCUCCCUCUGCAGGAACCUGAACAGAGCUGCAAACAUAAAGAGUUUCAAUCAAAAUGUCUCCUCUCGCUCCCAUCCUUCCCAGAAUGCCUUCUGUUUGACCUUUCACCCCAACCUCACUGAAAUAGAACACUGGGAGGUUUCUCUCUCAGAGAAAAGUACAAAGAAGGCAAAUGGUGGAAUGAUGAACAGAAAAACAUGGGCAGCAAGAACAGAAGGAGAGAGAGAGAAAGACAGGGAGUCAAGGAUGAAGAAGAACAUUAUGGCAAAGUGCAGGGGAAGAUACAAGGGAAAGAGAGGACAUCACCCAGGCAACAAGAAGAAGCAGAGAAUAAGUAAACAGGGACUAUAAGGCAGUAUGUCUGAAGGGGACAGAAAUACAGUUCAUACAGAGUAAUUAGAAGUGGAGAAUAGAAUAGGCACAGAUAAGCAGUGGACACAAAGAUAGACGUCUUGACAUACAGAAAGACAUAUGAACUGAAAGUGAGGAAAAUGAAGUGAAAGUGAGAGAGAUCAUGUAUUUACCAGAAUGGGAGGGGCAACUCAGCCUGUGGAGGGGGAGGAGAGGCCGUGACUCUGAG
rnacentral:lncRNA from 1 species